ACUGUAUGACUAGUUCUUGCCUAAUAUGUUUUCAGAAACACGUUUCGCUGAAAUAUUUCCGUAAAAUACGAGAUCGUAUUCAGAACGAGCCGCCGUUAUGCUCGGUUUUGAAAUCCGGGAGCAGCCAGCCCAACGUGACGCAUUCCUCCAAUCAGCUGCAGCCAUCGCGGUUGUAGGAAGGUGUAGACCGUUUUCUUUGCUUGUCAUUGGUCAGUGAAGAGAAACUGAUGUCUUUUAUUGGCGGUGAACCA